rnacentral:rRNA from 1 species
AUUGAACGCUAGCGGGAUGCCUUACACAUGCAAGUCGAACGAGUGGCGAACGGGUGAGUAAUGUAUCGGAACGUGCCCAGUAGCGGGGGAUAACUACGCGAACCGUAGCUAAUACCGCAUACUAUUGGCGCGCCCGCUAUCGGAUUAGAGAGUGGGUGGGGUAACGGCUCACAAAGGCGACGAUCCGUAGCUGGUUUGAGAGGACGACCAGCCACACUGGGACGGGGACACGGCCCAGACUCCUACGGUAGGAAGCAGGGGGGAAGUUUGGACAAUGGGGGAAACCCUGAUCCAGGCAGCCCGCGUGUGCGAUGAAGGCCUUCGGGAUGUAAAGCACUUUUGGCAGGAAAGCGGUACAUGCAGAAUAAGCACCGGCUAACUACGUGCCAGCAGCCGCGGUAAUUC